rnacentral:lncRNA from 1 species
UACAUUAAAAUAAAUAAAUAAAAAACUAUUUGAGUGAAUAUUUUCAAUUUGCCUUUUCUUUUUUUUCUUUUCGUUUUUGCAUGGGUGAAUAUUGAAGAAUUAUAAAGAGAGACCGUUCAGAGCAUCUCAUCGAGAGAUGUAAAUUUGAGAUGUAAAAUCAAUUUACAUCUCACUUUACAUCUUCGGGAGAUGUAAAUAUGAGUUAUAUUGCAAUAGCAAAGAUGCAAAUUUGAGCUCUCAUUUAUUUUUCUUGCUUUAACUAGCGGAACCAAAAUGCGGAUCCAUUUAGGGACCUAGAUGGUCCCAAGACCAAUGGUGGACCUAUUCAUGGAUCCGGAUGGUCACGUGACCACUCGUGUGAAAUUUCGGAUGUGUGAAAUCUCGUCCCCGAAAUUUCAUUAUUUAAUUACGUAUUUCAUUAUUUAAAGUCGUACUUCAUAAUUACGUGAUUUUUAUUUUUAUUUUUAUUUCGUUAAUUUUAGAAUUUUAAUUAGGGUUUUUAUCAUAAAUGAUCCUUGAAAUUGACCCACACCAUCAAGAUCGUCCCUAAAAUUAAAAAUCAAUCAAUGUAGUACUUGAAAAUAGGUGUUGAUGCGAAAUAUAUAAGCACACAAAUUAAACCCUCUUUUUAUCAAUUGUAGUAAAGUAUGUAAGUAGGGAUCGUUCUAGGCCGGGGAUUAGGAGGGAUUUCUAAAUCACUUGGAAACUGACUUGAAAACGUAAAAACAAAGUUUAAAACACUAACUAGACUCAAAGAA